rnacentral:rRNA from 1 species
GACGAACGCUGGCGGCGUGCUUAACACAUGCAAGUCGAACGGAAAGGCCCUGCUUUUGUGGGGUGCUCGAGUGGCGAACGGGUGAGUAACACGUGAGUAUCCUGCCCUUGACUUUGGGAUAACUUCAGGAAACUGGGGCUAAUAUCGGAUAGGAGCUCCUGCUCCGUGGUGGGGGUUGGAAAGUUUCGGCGGUUGGGGAUGGACUCGCGGCUUAUCAGCUGGUUGGUGGGGUAGUGGCUGACCAAGGCUUUGACGGGUAGCCGGCCUGAGAGGGGGAACGGCGACAUGAGGACUGAGAUACGGCGCAGACUCGUACGGGAGGCAGCAGGGGGGAGUCUUGCACAAUGGGCGGAAGCCUGAUGCGGAAGCGCCGCGUGCGUGAUGACGGCCUUCUGGUUGAAAACCGCUUUCGCCUGUGACGAAGCGUGAGUGACGGUAAUGGGUAAAGAAGCACCGGCUAACUACGUG